UACGGAGGGCGCAAGCGUUGUUCGGAAUCACUGGGCGUAAAGCGCGUGUAGGCGGCCGGGCAAGUCGGAUGUGAAAUCCCUAGGCUCAACCUCGGAACUGCAUUCGAAACUGCCCGGCUCGAGUCCCGGAGAGGAUGGCGGAAUUCCCGGUGUAGGGGUGAAAUCCGUAGAUAUCGGGAGGAACACCAGUGGCGAAGGCGGCCAUCUGGACGGUGACUGACGCUGAGACGCGAAAGCGUGGGGAGCAAACAGG
rnacentral:rRNA from 1 species